rnacentral:piRNA from 1 species
UUCAUUGAGAUGGACUGACUGGAGC